rnacentral:pre_miRNA from 1 species
AUUGAGACUUUAACAUUUUCAUGCAAUUUAUAUCAACAUGAUAUGCUAGAGUGUCGGUUU